rnacentral:rRNA from 1 species
UACGGGGGGGGUAAGCGUUGUUCGGAAUUACUGGGCGUAAAGGGCUCGUAGGCGGCCAACUAAGUCAUACGUGAAAUCCCUCAGCUUAACUGGGGAACUGCGUGUGAUACUGGAUGGCUUGGAUUUGGGAGAGGGAUGCGGAAUUCCAGGUGUAGCGGUGAAAUGCGUAGAUAUCAGGAGGAACACCGAUGGCGAAGGCAGGUCUCUGGGCUGACACUGACGCUCAUGCACGAAAGCGUGGGGAGCAAACAGG